rnacentral:rRNA from 1 species
CCUACGGGAGGCAGCAGUGAGGAAUAUUGGUCAAUGGGCGUAAGCCUGAACCAGCCAAGUCGCGUGAGGGAUGAAGGUUCUAUGGAUCGUAAACCUCUUUUAUAAGGGAAUAAAGUGCGGGACGUGUCCCGUUUUGUAUGUACCUUAUGAAUAAGGAUCGGCUAACUCCGUGCCAGCAGCCGCGGUAAUACGGAGGAUCCGAGCGUUAUCCGGAUUUAUUGGGUUUAAAGGGUGGGUAGGCGGCCUGUUAAGUCAGCGGGGAAAGUCUGUGGCUCAACCAUAGAAUUGCCGUGGAAACUGGGAGGCUUGAGGAUGUUGGAGGCAGGCGGAAUGCGUGGUGUAGCGGUGAAAUGCUUAGAUAUCACGCAGAACCCCGAUUGCGAAGGCAGCCUGCCAAGCCAUGACUGACGCUGAUGCACGAAAGCGUGGGGAUCAAACAGGAGUAGAUACCCGUGUAGUC